rnacentral:rRNA from 1 species
ACAAGCGGUGGAGCAUGUGGUUUAAUUCGAAGCUACGCGAAGAACCUUACCAGGUCUUGACAUACUAUGCAAAUCUAAGAGAUUAGACGUUCCCUUCGGGGACAUGGAUACAGGUGGUGCAUGGUUGUCGUCAGCUCGUGUCGUGAGAUGUUGGGUUAAGUCCCGCAACGAGCGCAACCCUUAUUAUCAGUUGCCAGCAUUAAGUUGGGCACUCUGGUGAGACUGCCGGUGACAAACCGGAGGAAGGUGGGGAUGACGUCAAAUCAUCAUGCCCCUUAUGACCUGGGCUA